rnacentral:rRNA from 1 species
AUUGAACGCUGGCGGCAUGCCUUACACAUGCAAGUCGAACGGCAGCAUGAUCUAGCUUGCUAGAUUGGUGGCGAGUGGCGAACGGGUGAGUAAUACAUCGGAACGUGCCCUGUAGUGGGGGAUAACUAGUCGAAAGAUUAGCUAAUACCGCAUACGACCUGAGGGUGAAAGUGGGGGACCGCAAGGCCUCAUGCUAUAGGAGCGGCCGAUGUCUGAUUAGCUAGUUGGUGAGGUAAAGGCUCACCAAGGCGACGAUCAGUAGCUGGUCUGAGAGGACGAUCAGCCACACUGGGACUGAGACACGGCCCAGACUCCUACGGGAGGCAGCAGUGGGGAAUUUUGGACAAUGGGGGCAACCCUGAUCCAGCAAUGCCGCGUGUGUGAAGAAGGCCUUCGGGUUGUAAAGCACUUUUGUCCGGAAAGAAAUCGCACUUACUAAUAUUAGGUGUGGAUGACGGUACCGGAAGAAUAAGGACCGGCUAACUACGUGCCAGCCGCCGCAGUAAUAC